AGCUCCAUGGCUCAGUGGUAAAGCAGCUGCCUUGCAUUCAGAAGGUGCUGGGUUUGAUCCUUGGUAGGUCUA